UUUUUUUCCUUUACCAUUCCAGAAAUGCAGGCAAGGCAAAUGGCCGUACAGCUUUAGGUGUUAUCUGACUGCUCAAAGCAUUUUAUCUGAGAAAUGAAGUUACCUUGUUCAGGUAUCCACAUGUCAGGAGCCAGAUGACCUCUGUCCAUGUGUUUGUCACAUAUAAGAUUUUCUGUGUUUAUGUGGGGCUCUCUUCAUAUGCUUACUUGCGUGGGCUGUUCCCUUAUUCAGAUGUGCACAUAUUGCACAGUCCCUGAAAACCUAAUACAAGUUUAUACAGUCUUCUUCCUACAGGAUUCUCCCCUUGGAGGGAUAUCUGCCACUGGUGAUGCAGUACCUGCUUUGCAUCAAGACAUCUCAAGUAUGGUUGCCCAUACCAGACAUUCAUUAUGUUGGCUUUUGUCUCUGCUAUGAAUGCAAGUGACGAAUUGCAGUAAUGGUGGGGAGAACACAUUGGUAACAGAGAGGCCACUGAUCAGUGUCUUUCUCAGAAGGUUCUCAGGUGGUGGUCCUUGGAUACAGUAGGAGAAACCCGUUUAAUGCAGUGGUCUUGUUUGUCUUUGAAGGAUAGUCUCAAUUCUUUGAAGGUGAUGGUGGGUAGUGAAGAGCUGAACUGUUGGGUUGCUCAGCAUGUGGGUACCUAUUGAACAUGGUUGGAUGUUUAAAAAUAGGUAAAUAAUUUAAGAAAUAGGCAAGGCUCACUAGUUCCUGCAGACCCCAAGAAAUCAAACCCAUGUCUGCUUGUGUGACCCCAUCUGUUGAGCUCUGGGGGUUAAAGCACUUUAAAAAAUGUUUCUUUGAAACUGGAGUAGUGCUUCUAAGUUAAAGAUAAGGGCUUUUAUACUGCAAAAGAUAUAAUAAAACAGUAUCUAAAGCUCCUAAAUUAACCAGAACUGUGACUAAACAACAACAAAAAUACCUUACAAAUACAAUUAUUUCCAGUCUCCCAGAUCUCAGUCUGGAAGGGCUGCAAUGGUAACCUGCUAUGCAACAGCAGUGGCUUGGUGGGUGGUGCUUAAUUCCAGUCCCAUAUAGCAACAUAGGGACUGAUCUCUGCAAACUUCAGUGUUGUGGAGAUGGGCUGCUCCAAAGGUCUGUUUCAUGUUCUUGUUCAUUGAAACUGUAACUGUUCUAAGGAGUCUGUUUCAG
ensembl:lncRNA